rnacentral:ncRNA from 1 species
UAUUUAGGCAGUGGAACGGAAAUGAUAAAAAGACACUAAUGAUUUAUUAUGUAUUCCCAUCUCGCACAUUAUUGUAAGCUGACUUUCCGUCAGCUUCUGUGUUGGGGCCACCCCAACUUGCAUUGCCUGUUGAAAUUGGGGGCCAAUUUCUCUAUGUUGGGGCCCCUGGAAUUGAAAUAAGCUUGUUGCAAGUGUAUUUUCAUUCGGUCAACUGCUGCGAAUAUUAUAUUGUAGAGCCUAGGGCAUUGAUUU